rnacentral:rRNA from 1 species
AUGACUCAAUCCCACGAGCACUGCUUGAUAUUUUCUCGUGGGUUGUCCAAGGGAUUGUCACACCCCAUAAGGCCUCAUUUGACACAAGAGGAUUCAGGAGGUUUCGAGAGGAUAAUCCUCGGGAGGGCCAGAAGCCCCACAAAACCUCAACUCCCGUCGAGGGCCUCGCGAAAGAAAAACCUCGAGGGCAGCCGCAGCGCACGCCUCCUCCACUCUUCGCCUGCCAAACGAGCUUUUUCAGGAAAAGGUUUCGAUGCAAGGGGAAUUGAGGGUAUUGGGUGGAGGGGAGGGAUUCAUCAAAUCCCCUUCAAUCCCCACACCUCAAAUCCUCCUCAAUCCCUCCAUGUCAAACUAGGCCUAAAGAAAGAAAAGAUCCUCAGGACGAGAGUUAGAUCGCUCGCAAUGCAAAACAAUGAUUGCAUCGCCGCCGUAGCUAGUCGGCUUCGCCGCUUCGGCUACUGGCUGCUGCGAAGAUCGACCGGUGAUUCGUCGACAAUCCUUAAGGCCGCUCCUCAAUGGAAAACGGGAUCGUCCGAUCGAUCGGCCACCGUAAUAGUUCCAUCCUUCAGGAGUGGGGGCUUUUGGUGCUCGGCCUACAGGCAGGCCGGAAUCUGGUCCGUCUGCUUGGGCCUGGAGAUUCGAAACCCGUCAGUUCGUGGCAGCGCUCUGGCAGGCCUAGUGAAAGAAUCCCAUGCGCCUACAUUACCCCACCCCCCACUCCUGGACAGCUUUCCCCUCCCCAUCCCCUUCUCUUCCACAGACCCGGAGUGCGGCGGCUCUGCUCCGGCGAUCUGUCCAUCGACGGCCUCGAGAUCGAUGGGGGCCUUGCCGUGCCGGCUGGAAGGAGUGGUUCUGUCCUCCAAGUGGAGUCCCAGGAUUCCAUGGUUGCAGCAGAUGCGGCCGACAAAGCACAGGCAGACGGAGGUGCGGCCAUAUAGGAGGUACGGUGCUAAAUUGGAUUUGUCAGUGGAUAGGAUGGGGAAAGCUCCUGACGAGAGGGAGAUGAAGCCUGACAAGAAAACAGCACUGGAAUUGUCUGUGCGCGCUUAUGCUGAGAAAGGAGCUGGUCAUGUUGUCAAUCCAGCAAUUGGCACAUCUUUUGACUCGUUAGAUGAGGCUUAUGAGUUCUACAACCUUUAUUCCUGGGAAUGUGGUUUUGGAGUUCCGCUAUGUUGCUCGGAAAAGUGUUGUUGUUUAGUCUACUGGAAGAACAGUGUUAUUACUGGUGGGAUGAGUCUUGCAUCACCGUGCAUAGAGGAGAAGCCCGCAAGGGGUGUGAUCACGGGUGAUGAGAUGAUCAAGGCACUAUGCACGGGCAGUUGUGGUGACGCAGAUGGUGCUGUAGCUUGCUCCUUGAGUGGGUGUGGGUUGUUCCUUCGGCGGAAGAACAGAGAAACCUGCUGGCGGUCACUGAGUUGGGUGGAGGUACUCCUAGAUGACAACACUCAACAGGGGAUGGUUGAUGUGACCGCAUAG